GCUAAAUUAAAGAAACAGGUUAAACGUACAAAAGAAAUCUUGAGUGCCAACACAAUGGCUCCAAUAUCGGUUGAAUCUCUCUAUGAUGAUGGAGACUUCAGGAGUAGUAUAACACGUGAUAAGUUUGAAGAGCUGUGUGAAGAUUUGUGGGAUCGAUCUCUUACCCCUCUCAAAGAAGUGCUUAAUCAUUCGGGGCUGAAGGUGGAUGAAAUAUAUGCGGUUGAGCUUAUAGGAGGGGCUACCAGAGUGCC
rnacentral:misc_RNA from 1 species